UACGUAGGGGGCAAGCGUUGUCCGGAAUCAUUGGGCGUAAAGAGCGCGUAGGCGGCCCUGUAAGUCCGCUGUGAAAGUCAAGGGCUCAACCCUUGGAUGCCGGUGGAUACUGCAGGGCUAGAGUUCGGAAGAGGCGAGUGGAAUUCCCGGUGUAGCGGUGAAAUGCGCAGAUAUCGGGAGGAACACCUAUGGCGAAGGCAGCUCGCUGGGACGUUACUGACGCUGAGACGCGAAAGCGUGGGGAGCAAACAGG
rnacentral:rRNA from 1 species